rnacentral:rRNA from 1 species
CCAAUAGCGUAUAUUAAAGUUGUUGCAGUUAAAAAGCUCGUAGUUGAAUUUCGAGACCGGUUUACUGGUCGUGCUUUUGUACGUACUGGUAUUAUUGGUUUCUCCUUUCUGACGAAUCAUAAUGCCAUUAAUUUGGUGUUUUGGGGAAUCAGGACUGUUACUUUGAAAAAAUUAGAGUGUUUAAAGCAGGCUCACGCUUGAAUACAUUAGCAUGGAAUAACGAAAUAGGACGUUUGAUUUUAUUUUGUUGGUUUCUAGGAUCGACGUAAUGAUUAAUAGGGAUAGUUGGGGGCAUUAGUAUUCAAUUGUCAGAGGUGAAAUUCUUGGAUUUAUUGAAGACUAACUACUGCGAAAGCAUUUGCCAAGGAUGUUUUCAUUAAUCAAGAACGAAAGUGAGGGGAUCGAAGACGAUCAGAUACCGUCGUAGUCUUAACCAUAAACUAUGCCGACUAGGGAUCGGAUGAUGUUAAUUUUUUAAUGACUCAUUCGGCGCCUUACG